rnacentral:rRNA from 1 species
CCUCAAAUCAGGUGGACUACCCGCUGAACUUAAGCAUAUCAAUAAGCGGAGGAAAAGAAACUAACUAGGAUUCCCUUAGUAACGGCGAGUGAAGCGGGAUGAGCUCAAAUUUAAAAUCUGAUAGUCUUUGGCUGUCCGAGUUGUAAUCUAGAGAAGUGUUUUCCGCGUUGGACCAUGUACAAGUUUCCUGGAACGGAACGUCAUAGAGGGUGAGAAUCCCGUCCUUGACAUGGACUACCUGUGCUUUGUGAUACACUCUCAACGAGUCGAGUUGUUUGGGAUUGCAGCUCAAAAUGGGAGGUAAAUUCCUUCUAUAGCUAAAUAUUGGCGAGAGACCGAUAGCGAACAAGUACCGUGAGGGAAAGAUGAAAAGCACUUUGGAAAGGGAGUUAAACAGUACGUGAAAUUGUUAAAAGGGAAACGAUUGAAGUCAGUCGCGUUUGCUUGGACUCAGCCUUACCUCGGUUUGGUGCAUUUCCUUGUGAACGGGCCAGCGUCAAUGUUGUUCGUUGGAAAAGGGUUAGAGAAAUGUGGCUCUUUCGGGAGUGUUAUAGUCUCUGAUCGUAUACAACGGCUGAUAUUGAGUGGUACAGCAUGCUUCGGCGGUGCUUGUGCUGGCA